CUACGUGCCAGCAGCCGCGGUAAUACGUAGGGUGCGAGCGUUAAUCGGAAUUACUGGGCGUAAAGCGGGCGCAGACGGUUACUUAAGCAGGAUGUGAAAUCCCCGGGCUCAACCUGGGAAUUGCGUUCUGAACUGGGUGGCUAGAGUGUGUCAGAGGGGGGUAGAAUUCCACGUGUAGCAGUGAAAUGCGUAGAGAUGUGGAGGAAUACCGAUGGCGAAGGCAGCCCCCUGGGAUAGCACUGACGUUCAUGCCCGAAAGCGUGGGUAGCAAACAGGAUUAGAUACCCUGGUAGUCCACGCCGUAAACGAUGAGUGCUAGGUGUUAGACCCUUUCCGGGGUUUAGUGCCGUAGCUAACGCAUUAAGCACUCCGCCUGGGGAGUACGACCGCAAGGUUGAAACUCAAAGGAAUUGACGGGGGCCCGCACAAGCGGUGGAGCAUGUGGUUUAAUUCGAAGCAACGCGAAGAACCUUACCAGGUCUUGACAUCCCUCUGACCGCUCUAGAGAUAGAGCUUUC
rnacentral:rRNA from 1 species